rnacentral:rRNA from 1 species
GACGAACGCUGGCGGCGUGCUUAACACAUGCAAGUCGAACGGUGAAGCGCCUUCCUUUUUGGUGGGUGUGGAUGAGUGGCGAACGGGUGAGUAACACGUGAGUAACCUGCCCCCUUCUUCUGGAUAACCGCAUGAAAGUGUGGCUAAUACGGGAUAUUCUGGGUCUGUCGCAUGAUGGGUCUGGGAAAGAUAUUGUUUCGGUGGGGGAUGGGCUCGCGGCCUAUCAGCUUGUUGGUGGGGUGAUGGCCUACCAAGGCGGUGACGGGUAGCCGGCCUGAGAGGGUGGACGGUCACACUGGGACUGAGACACGGCCCAGACUCCUACGGGAGGCAGCAGUGGGGAAUAUUGCACAAUGGGCGCAAGCCUGAUGCAGCGACGCCGCGUGAGGGAUGGAGACCUUCGGGUUGUGAACCUCUUUCGCCAGUGAAGCAGGCCUGCCUCGUUUGUGGGUGGGUUGACGGUAGCUGGAUAAGAAGCGCCGGCUAACUACGUG